GCGGCGGCUGCUGUCCGGCAGGGAAGUCUCUGGGCCGGCCGUGGAACCGCCUCGGCUCUCCUAAGCUGCUCAAUUCGGACGCGCGGCGCUGAUGCUCAGAGUCUUUUGAACAGGUUUUGUUCCGUAAUCUCUUCCUCGUUUUUUAUUACAGUUCGCCUGAACGUCACUGAGCUCAGCUAAGGCAGGAGUGCUGAAAGCACGUAUGCAGCUCGGGCCCGGGCACUUCUGCUCCAAACACACGGUCCAGCCCGAGGUGUGAGAACCGUGGUCGCACCUGAUGCAGCACAGCCUUUGUAUUGGCAGUGUGAAAAGGAGUGCAUCGUGGCUGACAAGAUCCGCAAAGAACAACAGAUUUGGUGAACAGAAGUAAUAAUAAAAAAAGCCUCAGAAGCACCCAGGCCGCCCUUAAGCAGGGCCACGGCCCUAGAAGAAGCACAGUCCCACCAACAAACACACAGUGAGUGCAGAGCAAGGUCUGCACCGGCCGAGCAGGAGAAGCGCUGUGUCCCAGGAAGCUCGCCUGAUGGGUUUGUGGCUGCUGCGGCCAAACACCCCAGUGCACGCUCUGCCCCUGGGCCGGAGAUUGGGGAGCACCCGCAGAGGGGACGGUGCCUCUGAGCACAGCUUUGGCAGAACCAGCGCUGGGGGAAGGCCUGCUACUCUCUGCAUGCCUGUUUCCAAGGUACUGAAAAAUCAGAGCACAGAGGACAACCGCAAAGUGAUCUGAAGGAAUAGGAUGAUGCAGUCAGAGCCUUAUUCCGGUCCUCAAAAAGACGACUGUGGGAAUUUGAUUAUGAUAUGUAACUGUAAUGGAAGAAGGGCUAGGCAUGAAAAGCUUUUUUAACUCUAUGGAUGGACCUUAACUCAAGCAUUUUUUGACUUCUGGGAUUUGACUUUGCAAUCUGAGAACUUGCUUUCUGCUUCUUGCAGACUUUCAUCAGAUGAUGCAGUGAACCACCCCUGCUCGUACAGGGUUCUUUUCAUCACAGGCACAUGUACGCCAGUUCAUCGCAUUAGGAUGCAGGGGAACGGUGCACUGCUGUGCCAGGGGAAGGCCAGACUGAAGCAAGGCAGCCAAGAGCUGGGCCUGGUGCCCCAUGCAGCCGGCAGUGCCCUCGGUAACUGCUGCAACUCCUGGUGGCCCUGAGGAGGUGGGCAGUGCAGCUGGGUGGUUGCUGGAGGCCCCUUCCCACUGCGCUGUGCUGUAUUUAUUUGUGCCAUUUACACGCUUCGUAACUCCUUCAUCUUCUGUGAUCACUUGAAAAAAAUAGAGACAUUUUCUGCUUUAUUUUCACAGAGAGAUCACUAACUGAAGAAUACAGCGAUACUGGUUAAAAUGACUACUAAGUCCUUUGUAUAAAAACAUGAAGAUAUUUUUGUUUUCUCCGUCAAGCAAUGAAAAGCGCGUGCUCUAUUUUUAAGCAGAUAAUAGACAGUGAUAUAACUUCAGGAUUGUACUCGUUUAAAACGCAAGGUUGGGUUUUGCGUCUCUUAUUCCUGCUGCACGUUGACGAACCCUUCAGCAGGUACGCACAGGGAAUUAAAACAGCGCUGUGUCCUUUGCGUGCUCCCCACCCUGCUGUUGUCCUCAGGACAGGGACAUGGUACAUACAUAUCAGCUCCUGAACUGCCCCUUCUUCAGAUCAGCACGUUAAGGUAAAAGGGGUCCGAGAACCAUUCACCUUAAUGCCGUGGUUUGAAAACCGUCAGUAAACCAAGCUGUGUUUGAUGACAAACGUCAGAGCAGUGAGGCUCCCGGCCUGAAGGAUGGACGGACAGCUGAAAGCAACUUCGGGUGUCUGCUUCUAAUCCGCCAUCAAGCGCCCCCAGAGCUUUGGUCUGUAUAAAUAAUUCAACGGUGUUUGACAGUUGUUCCUAAGAUCAGCUGCUACAAUACAGAAAGCAGAGCAAAAACUGUAUCCCAGAUUUAACAGCCUACAAAAAACAUUCAUGCUCGCGUUUGGGUGGUUGGAGGAGAAGGAAUUUUUCUUUCAACAUCAAAGCCUCUCAAGUAAUAACUUCUUGUACGAGAAUAUCCCAUUACUUCUUCAUAUUUUAAUACUGCAGAAUAGCCACAUCACCAACAUUCCAAAUAAACAAGCUGUGGAUACGGAAUAACUUAGCUCAGCAUUAGAAGACUGCACAUUCUUCUGAUAAUACCAUUGUCUGCAUGAAUACCUCAGUAGCUUAAAAUGCAGUCCAGAAAUGUCAGCAUCACCUUUACAUAUGGAACUAGGCACCUGAACUGUGCCUGAAAAAGCAGGUACUGAUCUAGUGAAGUUAAUGAUUCUGUGGCUACAAAAAGAUACAUUUCCUGCUGAAACUUCGAUCUAGCAAUCGAUAACAGUUUGCCACACUGAUAAAUAUGGGAUAAAAAAGGUCUGUCUACGCCAGCCAAUAACCAUGACUUUGGAAAAGACAGCAGCAAGACUGGACCCAGACAACUCAUAAUCAUUGAAAGAAAUCUAAGGUAUAACACACCACAAAAAACACAAGCACAACUUGGGUUAUUAAAACAGCAAAAAACCUAUUUCUCUUAACUAAUGAGGUAUAACCAAUUUUAAUGUAUUAUCAGCAAACUCAUGCAGACUAUUGCAUAAGGCAUCCUUGUGAAAUGUAGGACAGCCUGAAAUUCAUUUUAUUUCAUUGGAAAGUAAUUGAAAAUUGCUAAUUACAGGUAGGGGGGGAUGUUUUCAUUUCUGUUCAUAAAGAGAGAGCAGGUAUUCCACAUUUUUUCCCCUCAUUACAAGAUGCUUUGUGAGGCAUCUUCCUUACAUUCGGAAGUUUGUUUUUUUAAAGCAUAAAAUUACCUCAAACUUGCCUUUGAUUUAUAAACUGCACAAGUUAAAGUAUUAAACUCGACAGAAUCAAAUGGUUGUCUAUUUUUGAACCUUCAGCCCAUUGCCCACAACCUUUACCCCCAGGGCAGCAGCAGUGAGCCCUGCAGGAG